rnacentral:rRNA from 1 species
GACGUAGGGCGCGAGCGUUGUCCGGAUUUAUUGGGCGUAAAGAGCUCGUAGGCGGUCUGUCGCGUCGGAUGUGAAAACCCAGGGCUCAACCCUGGGCCUGCAUUCGAUACGGGCAGACUAGAGUUCGGUAGGGGAGACUGGAAUUCCUGGUGUAGCGGUGAAAUGCGCAGAUAUCAGGAGGAACACCGAUUGCGGAGGCAGCUCGCUGGGACGUAACUGACGCUGAGACGCGAAAGCGUGGGGAGCAAACAGG